rnacentral:rRNA from 1 species
GUCUAUGGCUACGCCACCCUGAACAAGCCUGAUCCUGUCUGAUCUUGGAAGCUAAGCGGGGUCUGUCCUGGUUAGUACUUGGAUGGGAGACCACCUAGGAAGACCAGGUGCUGUUGGUG